UCAGAAUAACGGCCUGCGAGCGCGGAGC
rnacentral:piRNA from 1 species